GAGGGCAACGACAGCAAACCAGAGCAGUUGGGCCGCCAGGUUGAGGUCAAAGCCAGCAGUAGCGGCAUACCGAAGACAGGCACAGAAUUGACCCUGGAAUGCGUCGUCACCGAGAACGGAGCCCGCGCCGCCGGCGUCACCACCUUCGCGUGGCUCAAGAACGGCGACGUGAUGCUCCACCGUACCGGUGCCACGGUGGACUUUAAGCCCCUCAAGAAGAUGGACGCAGGCACAUACGCGUGCAAGGUCGGCACAGACCUGUCGAGCGGCUACGUCUUGACUCUGACUGGGGGCGCCGUGGCGGCGUCCUACUCGCCGGCGCUGCUGCUGACGCUGAGCCUGCUGCACGCGCUGCUUUGCCUCUUGUGCUACUAGAUAGCGGAACGGCGCCCAGCCGCCAGCUCGUGCCCGGCCGGGAGACGUCAGCUGGGGAGCCACCGCCGUCGCCCUACGAGCACCCAACCCAACCCACCCACCGCUACACACAAAAAAAGAAAGAAGAAAAGGUGCAAAAAGUUGAAAAAGAAAAAACAGUACUCUUGGUUGUUAUUGCUUCUUUCUUUGCUCGGGGAAGUCAUCGGCCGGCCGGUCGGUGUUUUUGUCUUUGCGGCAUUGUCGGGUCGCCGCCCAUUUUCAAAUAGUCACGGGAAUAAUGACCCUCCUCCCUCUGUAUCUGUUGCGCUCGCCGCCCGCGAUGUUUGGGAGAAAGCAAAGAGCCGGCGUGUCGCGUAGGGCGGCCUUUAUAUGGAGGGGCACGUGAAAAGGCUUCCAAAACAAAGGCCGAAUAAGGUUCCUUUGGGUGGGGAUGGUUGGGCUAACUAAAGCAAAGUGUCUUUUGGAUUUUGCUCCUUUGCAUGCUGUCUUUGGUCUUGUUCACCUUUUUUUUUCUGCUAAAGCUAAUAAAAGCAUUCAAUGCA